GACGGAGGGGGCAAGCGUUGUUCGGAAUUAUUGGGCGUAAAGGGCUCGUAGGCGGAUCCGCCAGUCUGACGUGAAAUCUCCACCGCUCACCGGGGAGGGGCCGUUGGAUACUACGGAUCUGGAGUUCGGCAGAGGACCACGGAAUUCCUGGUGUAGCGGUGAAAUGCGCAGAUAUCAGGAGGAACACCAGUGGCGAAGGCGGUGGUCUGGGCCGGAACUGACGCUGAGGAGCGAAAGCGUGGGUAGCAAACAGG
rnacentral:rRNA from 1 species